GUAGGGAAUAUUGGACAAUGGGCGAAAGCCUGAUCCAGCCAUGCCGCGUGAUAGAUGAAGGCCCUCUGGGUUGUAAAUAUCUUUUAUCUGGGAAGAAACUCCUCUAUUCUUAGAGGCCUGACGGUACCAGAGGAAUAAGCACCGGCUAACUCCGUGCCAGCAGCCGCGGUAAUACGGAGGGUGCAAGCGUUAUCCGGAUUCACUGGGUUUAAAGGGUGCGUAGGCGGGUUGAUAAGUCAGUGGUGAAAGCUCCGGGCUUAACUUGGAAACUGCCAUUGAUACUGUCAGUCUUGAAUGUCGUAGAGGUAAGCGGAAUGUUGCAUGUAGCGGUGAAAUGCUUAGAUAUGUUACAGAACACCAAUUGCGAAGGCAGCUUACUAUGCGAUAAUUGACGCUGAGGCACGAAAGCGUGGGGAGCAAACAGGAUUAGAUACCCUUGUAGUCC
rnacentral:rRNA from 1 species